UACGGAGGGUGCGAGCGUUGUCCGGAAUCACUGGGCGUAAAGGGCGCGUAGGCGGUCCGGUAAGCGCGUGGUGAAAGCCCGGGGCUCAACCCCGGGUCGGCCGUGCGGACUGCGGGACUGGAGCACUGUAGAGGCAGGCGGAAUUCCGGGGUGUAGCGGUGGAAUGCGUAGAGAUCCGGAAGAACACCGGUGGCGAAGGCAGCCUUCUGGGCCAACACUGACGCUCAUGCACGAAAGCGUGGGGAGCAAACAGG
rnacentral:rRNA from 1 species